UCCCUGGUGGUCCAGUGGCUAAGACUCUGCACCCUCAAUGCAGGGGGCCUGGGUUCAAUCCCUGGCCAGGUAA
rnacentral:tRNA from 1 species